GGCGCGGUAGGCAAGUGGCUAAGCCCGUGGUCUGCAAAACCAUUACUCAGCGGUUCGAGUCCGCUCCGCGCCU
rnacentral:tRNA from 1 species